rnacentral:rRNA from 1 species
AUGCGCAUCCUAUGCAUGCAAGUCGUACGCACGCGCUUCGGCGCGUGAGUGGCGCACGGCUGAGUAACACGUUGGGAACCCGCCCUCCGGUGGGGGAUAACGCGACGAAAGUCGCGCUAAUCCCGCAUACGUCCGCAAGGGGAAAGCGCUUCGGCGCGCCGGAGGAGGGGCCUGCGGCCCAUCAGGUGGUUGGUGGGGUAACGGCCUACCAAGCCGAUGACGGGUAGCUGGUCUGGGAGGAUGACCAGCCAGACUGGGACUGAGACACGGCCCAGACUCCUACGGGAGGCAGCAGCAAGGAAUUUUCGGCAAUGGGCGCAAGCCUGACCGAGCAACGCCGCGUGCGGGAUGACGGCCUUCGGGUUGUAAACCGCUUUUCGGGGGGACGACUACGACGGUACCCCCGGAAGAAGCCCCGGCUAACUCUGUGCCAGCAGCCGCGGUAAGACAGAGGGGGCGAGCGUUGUCCGGAGUUACUGGGCGUAAAGCGCGCGCAGGCGGUGGUCUCAGUGUCGUGUGAAAGCCCCCGGCUCAACCGGGGGAGGUCAUGGCAAACUAGACGACUGGAGCGGCGGAGAGGCCCCUC